rnacentral:lncRNA from 1 species
AGGGCCUGUUCCCUGCUGGAGCUCUUCCCUGUAUGCACAUGUUUUUUCUGGGGACCAUUUGCCUAAUUCAUCUCAGAAAUGAGUGCUGGAACCCUCCACUGACUGCCAUUGAGUGAUUUGGGGUACAGCCCUCCAAGCUCUCAUAUAUGGCAGUUGCUGAAGGUGUGUAGAUUCCCUGUUUAACUCAGUUAAAGGGGUGGGGAUGACUGGCCCCAAAGAUGUUCUCCUGGAGGAGAUGGGGAAGGAGGGCCUGGCCUGCCACCCCGUACCAUCCACCAGCAUAAUGCUUUCUUAAUAGAUGGAGGAGGGGCCACAGGGAACUCCAAAGAUCUAUGAGCAAUAACAACACUUACCACAAAUUCCACACUCAUGUGGGUUUAGCCAUCUGGGGCUAUUACCUCUUACUCAACACUGAAGGCCAGAGUGAAAUGUCCCUGGAACCUGAAAACACAUGUUUCUUCUGAGACUCAGAAGAAAUAAAUGGAAGAAAUGUUUUCUCAUUUUUAGCAAUUGUUACAAGAAUUCUUUAUUCAGAAGGGACUUGGCUUUUUUGGGGAAAUGGUUUAAUAAGCCUAUUGAGGGGAUAGAAAUGAGC